GGGGGUGUAGCUCAGUGGCAGAGCACAUGCUUAGCAUGCAUGAGGCCCCAGGUUCAAUCUCUGGCAUCUCCA